GCAAGCGUUGUUCGGAAUUACUGGGCGUAAAGGGCGCGUAGGCGGUUCGCUAAGUUGGAUGUGAAAACUCUGGGCUCAACCCAGAGCCUGCAUCCAAAACUGGCGGGCUAGAGUUCUGGAGGGGGUAGCGGAAUUCCUGGUGUAGCGGUGAAAUGCGUAGAUAUCAGGAGGAACACCGGUGGCGAAGGCGGCUACCUGGACAGAAACUGACGCUGAGGCGCGAAAGCUAGGGGAGCAAACAGG
rnacentral:rRNA from 1 species